rnacentral:lncRNA from 1 species
AUAAUGCGGCUAGUCCAGACAGGCUGGGUGACAGGCUUACUCCAGCCCUAAGAUAAUGCCUCUAGUUGUGACAUGCUUACUUCAGCCCUAAGAUAAUGCCUCUAGUCCAGACAGGCUGGGUGACAGGCUUACUCCAGCCCUAAGAUAAUGCCUCUAGUCCAGAAUGGCUGGGUGACAGGCUUACUCCAGCCCUAAGAUAAUGUCUGUAGUCCAGACAGGCUGGGUGACAGGCUUCCUUCAGCCCUGAGAUAAUGCCUGUAGUCCAGACAGGCUGGGUGACAGUCUUCCUUCGGCCCUGAGAUAAUGCCUGUAGUCCAGACAGGGCUGAAGCAGGGCCGUCACUAGACGGUCAGGAGAUCCGGGGGCUCAGGCCUGAAGACCUGGGGCUGAUUCCGGGGGGUUUGAUCCCGGCGCGACUGAAAUGAUGCCCCCCCCCCCCACGCACGCACGCUAGCAGUGAACAUUUUGCAGAAAAAUGACGCUAAGUUGCAUAUCUCACUGCUUUGUUCCUUGCGUGGUGCCCCCUUGAUGCCAAAUAACCAACACUUAAUAUUAAUUCAAUGGAUUGUGGUCAGUAAACCCAUGGGAAUAUGGUGUCAAUAAAUGUUUAUUUAUUAUCAAGUGCAUAACUAUAUAAUUUUCCAUGACGAAAAAUAGUUGGAAACAGUUUAUUUCAUUCGGUUGCAAUGUUUUCAUAAACCAUGUCCGAUAUUUGAUUGGUAAUAAAUAAAAAUCCUCAUGAUGUUGGUCA